AGAGUUUGAUCCUGGCUCAGAACGAACGCUGGCGGCGUGCCUAACACAUGCAAGUCGAGCGAGAAAGGGGGGGGCAACCCCCCUGAGUAGAGCGGCGCACGGGUGAGUAACGCGUGGGUAACCUACCCCCCGGCGGGGGAUAACCACUCGAAAGGGUGGCUAAUACCGCAUGAGACCACGGGGUCUUCGGACCCUGAGGCCAAAGGCUGCAUCGGCUUGCCGGUGUAGUCACCGGGUGAUGGGCCCGCGUCCGAUUAGCUAGUUGGUGAGGUAACGGCUCACCAAGGCUGCGAUCGGUAGCUGGUCUGAGAGGAUGAUCAGCCACACUGGAACUGGAACACGGUCCAGACUCCUGCGGGAGGCAGCAGUGAGGAAUAUUGCGCAAUGGGGGAAACCCUGACGCAGCAACGCCGCGUGGGUGAAGAAGGCCUUCGGGUCGUAAAGCCCUUUCGGACGGGACGAACGUUCCGCGGGGUCAAGCCGCGGAAUCUGACGGUACCGUAAGAAGAAGCACCGGCUAACUCCGUGCCAGCAGCCGCGGUAAUACGGAGGGUGCAAGCGUUGUUCGGAAUUACUGGGCGUAAAGCGCGUGUAGGUGGCCUCGUAAGCCAGACGUGAAAGCCCCCGGCUUAACCGGGGAAGUGCGUCUGGAACUGCUUGGCUUGAGUACGGGAGAGGGAGGCGGAAUUCCCAGUGUAGAGGUGAAAUUCGUAGAUAUUGGGAGGAACACCGGUGGCGAAAGCGGCCUCCUGGACCGAUACUGACGCUAAGACGCGAAAGCGUGGGGAGCAAACAGGAUUAGAUACCCUGGUAGUCCACGCGGUAAACGAUGGGCACUAGGUGUGGGGGGUAUCCACUCCUCCCGUGCCGCAGCUAACGCAUUAAGUGCCCCGCCUGGGGAGUACGGCCGCAAGGUUAAAACUCAAAGGAAUUGACGG
rnacentral:rRNA from 1 species